AGAUUUUCCACUUUGUUGUUUAAGCUACAAGAGGAUGCUGGAAGCAUUUAAUUGGAGUCAAAAGUGAUUAAUAGAAAGAAAACACGUUAGUGGUAAGUGCAAAUCAAAAAGGACCUUUUUGGAUACCAAUGAUGAAGUGAAAUCAUAAUAAAUCCACUGCAAUCUAGUGCAAAGAUUCUGCAUAUCUUACAACUUGUUUGAAUAUCAUGAUGAUUCAACAACCAUUUUUCUUCCUGAGUCAAUCUUUUUCUAGUCCUAGAAAUCACUUUCUCACAUUGUUUUCUGGUUUUCC
rnacentral:lncRNA from 1 species